rnacentral:misc_RNA from 1 species
AACGCACAUUGCGCCCCUCGGUAUUCCGUGAGGCAUGCCUGUUCGAGCGUCAUUUACACCCUCAAGCCCUGCUUGGUGUUGGGCGUCUGUCCGCGCUUCGCGCGCGGACUCGCCCUAAAGUCAUUGGCAGCGGUCAUGCCGGCUUCUAGCGCAGCACAUUUGCGCUUCCAGAAGCCCUGGCGGGCCCGCGUCCAGCAAGAUUCUUUCGACUUGACCUCGGAUCAGGUAGGGAUACCCGCUGAACUUAA